CUGGGAGAAAAUCCUGAGCCAUAUUCCACCUUCUUUGAUGGCUAAGGAAACAAAAGCAGUGCAAAAGAUCCUUCUGCCAAUGACUCUUACAUGUAGAGCUCCAAUCGAGCAAUUCAUGCAUGGCAGCAAGCAGACCGGAUUUUUGGGGAGAAGGCAAUUGGAACAGUUCGGCCAUGGGACGGCACCUUACCCAGCAGUCGACCCUGGUGCCUGUUCGUUCACCCACAGAGCUGCCAUCUUCCAUUUACUGUGACGGAAAAGGCUUGCGUUUUCUUCAGGGAGUGGCGAACCAGAGCAGCAGGGACGCUCUUUAAAGUGGUGCGCUGGGAUGUGGGAAUGCGCAAGCAAGGCGAUGCAAACGAAUCUGGGUCCUGCUCGUAUAACAUCACUGAUCAGCACCAUACAGACCAUACCUUUCAUUUCCAGAAUGUUCCAUGCACAUACUCAUAGACUCAAACAUCCCUUUGUUAAAGGAAUAUUGCUCCCAAAAAUUAAUCACUCAUGUUUACUGGUCGCUGUAUUUUUUUGUGACAUUACAAUGAAUGGGGAUGGGAGCUUUCAAGCUUCAAAACGGACGCGAAAGCACCAUAAAAGAAUCAUAAAAGUAUUCAAUGACAUGUUUUAAAGUAGUUCAUAAGUCUUCUAUAGCCACAUCAAGUUGUCAUUGGCUAAUUAUGUUCCAUUCCUUUUGAGUGAAGACCAGCUGUGAUCUGAACUCUGAAUCGUGAAGAAAUAAUUUAGAUCAGUUUAGUAAAGCGAAUCCCAUUCAAAUGUAUGAUUUGUUCACAAAGUGUACAGCUAAAAAGAUAUUUUGCAAAAUGGGGGUCACCAAACAAGACUGAUCCCCUUUGACUCCUAUUAUACCAGACAUUUCUCAAAAUAUAUUAUUAAAAAUGUGUGUGUGUAAACUGUUCUUCACUCACAUUACUUCAGCUCUUCCUAUCCGUCAGCACCCCCCUUUUAUUUCUCUCCUUUGAUUUUUAAACUCAUUUGCAUCCUCUUCUUUAAUUUCUCUGAAUUACCAAAAGUAUUAUUUCUCCAGGAAGGGUGUUUCUGGGGUGAUUAAGGAUAUGUUGACAGAUGCAUAGAAGACAAUAAGAUUAGUCAUUAUUAUUUAUUCUGAUCAAACAAAUCCAGUGAGUUCUGUUUUUCCUAUUAAAACUAGCGUGAUUGAACCUCGAGGCGUUGACAUGAAGAUCACAGAGCGAUGUUUUGGUUAGAGUGCAUCUGUACGCUGGUCACUGAUUGCUCUUGCCUGUUUUAAAUCGCUGCCGAUGACAAAUUGCAGUCGAGGUGGGACUGUAAGCACACGCUAGAACAAAAGUACCAAUGAGUUUCAGCGGCUGCAUGGGAGUUGCCAUUAUUACUUCCUCCUGAUUUGAAUCUUUUGUGAACAUGAAGUUUGUUCAAUGAGCCUCCUCCAUUUUCCUUCCUAUUGUGAAUUCAACUUUCAAUUGUGAGUCUGCAGAGAACACCUCCACCCAGAUCUAUAUGUGGAUAUAAAACUCUGAUCAUUUAUAGAUAUCCAAAAAUAUAAAAAGGAUUUUUCCACUCAUGCUGGGUCUAUAUAAAAGCUUAAUGUCACCUCUUGGCAAGAGAAUGUUAGAUAAAAUAAUAGAUGGUACCUUCGGCAAGGUCCAUCUGGUGCAAUUAUUUUAUUUUAUAAAAUGGAUUUUUAGGUCAUUUGACCCAUCUCACACUAUAACUUAUACCUCUAAGCAACAGUGCAACAGUCAUGAUUAGAGGAUAAAGAAAAGAAGAUGCUUGGCACGUUUCCAAGUCAUCAUUUGUUAUUUGAAAUAUUGUAAUAAAUACAAC